CAAAGUGAUACAAGUAUGUUGUCAUAGCAACAGAAAUUAUCAAAUAAUUUUGGAUAACGUUCCAUCUAAUUUAGUAUUUUAUCUUCUACAGUGACAAGCUGCAACAAGUUUGAAAAAACAUUGAUCUCCUACCAUGAAACGGGCUGAGUGUUACAGAAGGUGAAUCAUCAUGUCAAAGUAUCGAGGCUGUACAAUUUUACAUGGAUGCAAAAGGACUCGUGAUUAUAACAAUUUAAAGCAAACAUGGAGCCUAAUUCGGGAAA